rnacentral:rRNA from 1 species
CUCGUAGGCGGUCCAUCGCGUCGGGAGUGAAAAGCUGGGGCUCAACCCCAGUCCUGCUUCCGAUACGGGUGGACUAGAGGUAUGCAGGGGAGAACGGAAUUCCUGGUGUAGCGGUGAAAUGCGCAGAUAUCAGGAGGAACACCGGUGGCGAAGGCGGUUCUCUGGGCAUUACCUGACGCUGAGGAGCGAAAGCGUGGGAGCAAACA